AGCUUCGAGGUGUUUACACGUCAAAAUGCAAAUUUGAAGUAGGGCCCAAACGAGCCCCGGGGCUU
rnacentral:tRNA from 1 species